CGUCAGGCUCUCCUUGCUGCGGCUUGACCCAACUGCACAUCUCACCUCAGCGUUAUGAAAGUGCAAGGUCUUCAGCAAUGCUAUUGUGGUGCUGGGAUGGAGGAGGAUACAUUGCCUGCAAAACAAUGGUUUCUCUAGCACUUUGAGAACUGAGGUUUGAACCCACCAUGUAAAAGGAAGAACACAAAUACUCCUGUUUUGUUUCAGUUUACAGGAUAUUCACGUGCAUGUAAGAACACAUUGCAAUAAAACCUUCGGACUGCAUCUCCUUCUACCCUGGCUGAACUGUCAUUUAGAGAAGUGCAAUAUUAUUUGCAUACUGUAUUUUAGCAUGCUAAAUAAAAGAACAUAUUUCAGGCAAAGCAUUAGAGAGCUUGGCCUCUGCAUGA
rnacentral:lncRNA from 1 species